ACCAGCGGCGAUAGUUCGUUGAAUACACUGGUUCCUAAAGAACCACUGAAGUUAAGGAACGUUGCGCGUGGUUGCUAUGUGGAAUGGGUAUAGGUGACCACCUGGGGAGUCACAUGCUGCUGGCU
rnacentral:rRNA from 1 species